UUUAUCGAAAUCAUGAUGCAUUCAUUUUCUCAAAACCAUGCAAUUGUUUUAGCUCCUUUAAACCCCUCAUGUAAACCCCACAUGAGUAAAUCACUUUACAAAAAUCCAUGCUCAACUAUGCUACCCAAGAAAUGGGAAAUAUGGCAAAAACCCACAAGUUAGCAAAAUGGACAAAAAGUUUCUCACUGUAGCGAACUUCAUUCUCGCUGCAGCGAGAAUUAGAACAUCAAGGAAAAAGUCUUCUUUUUUCCCUUAAAACAAGUCAUCGUGCUAAAAUAACAAUAGCAACAUGUAACACAUGUAAACUUCCAAAUUUCAACAAAACAAAUGCUUACAUAUUUGCAUUUACAACCAUAUACCCAUCAUCAACAUGCACACCAUCCCAUCAUCAUCAUCAUGCACACCAUCCCAUCAUCAUCAUCUCAUAUGCAACGGCUUAUACUAUUGUCACUAGGGAGUGGGAGAUCACGAAGCAUCCCCCCCCUUCGCUACGGUGGCAUAACAUGGUACCUAUCAGAGCACUCGGCAAGAGGUGCACUUCACUCCGAAUCACAAAGCAACGGAGCAGUCCCUUCCCUCCUCUUCCAAGCUCUUGGGACGUACCACUCAACCCCUUCGCUACGGAGGCGACAAACGGUACCUAUCAGAGCACUCGGCAAGAGGUGCACUUCACUCCGGAUCACGAAGCAACGGAGCAGUCCCUUCCCUCCUCUUCCAAGCUCUUGGGCGGAGAGUCAUACUUCGCCACAGAUCAUAUGCGAGAGUUCUCAGAAAUAGGGUUAUCUUUCUCUUUGCUCUGAUACCAAGUUUGUCACUAGGGGUGAGAGAUCACGGAGCAUCCCCCACUUCGCUACGGAGGCAACGACGGCUUAUGUGCAACACAUAGCCGGGUCAGCAACGGCUUAUGUGCACUCUUACUCGCACAUAGCCGGGUCAGCAACGGCUUAUGUGCACUCCUACUCGCACAUAGCCGGGUUCAAAUCAACAUGUAAAGAAGCAUCCAAUGCAUAUCAUGCAUCUUAUCAUAUUGUGAUAACACAUAAACCAUUGUAUAGCACAUUUUCACAAUAUAAAAUCAUUUUACUAAAAGCUUGUUCCCAAGGUACAUUUUCUAAGACAAGUUGGAUAGAAUCUUUCAUAUUCCCCAAAACAAGUUUGAAAUGCAAGUUCACUCACCAAUAUUAGGAGUAGAAAUACUCCUAUUUUUAGUCCGCGGUUACAGUCCUUUACCCAUAUCCAAUGGCUCACCACCUAGCCAUAAUCCAUGACACAUAUUCCAAUUAAAUUGUGUAGAACAAUCAUAAGCUAUUUCAGGCUCGAUAUAUAUAUGAUAUGAAAUGAAAAAUGCACGGGUAGCCAUCUAGACUCGGUAUUGGCCUAAGUCGAUUUUUCAUCCGAUAAAUUGGCCCAUGCGUCUAAUUUCACUCCAAAUUAAUCCAUUUCUCCUUUAAUACCUUAAUUUACCACAUACCAUUUAAAUAAAGUCAAAUUCAGCAUUAGAACCCUCACAGUUCCUAAUAGAAAAAUUCGAUCAUUUGGUGCACUAGCACCAAAAAUUUUUCUACAUAACCGUUUCACCUUAAUUCAUCAUUUUCCAAGCCAUUUUCCUUGAAACAAAAACAAGCCCCCAUUGAUAUUCAGCCCUCAUGGUUCGACCAACAAGGAACCCUAGAGAAAUUGAAUAUUUCUUUUGUGUUUUUGUUCAUAACCAUGCUUAACUAUCCCUAAACACUAACAUAGUCUAAAAUCAAAUUAUUCUAACAACAAUUCCUCUUCCAUACCCAUUUUUCAGAAUUGAAUUCAUCAUGAUAACUCAAUAUUCAACCAUGAAAAUCAAGAACAAAAGCAUGAGUAAGCUAGGUAUCAAGGAGAAUUGAAGAAAUUUUAACUUACCUAGCUUGUUUCCUUGAAUUCCAACACUUUCUCUUUGAUUUUUCCCACCUAGGGCUUGUUCUUCCUUGGUUUCUCUUCUCUUCUGGUUUGGC
rnacentral:lncRNA from 1 species